rnacentral:rRNA from 1 species
GAUGAACGCUGGCGGCGUGCCUAAUACAUGCAAGUCGAGCGAACGGACGAGAAGCUUGCUUCUCUGAUGUUAGCGGCGGACGGGUGAGUAACGCGUGGAUAACCUACCUAUAAGACUGGGAUAACUUCGGGAAACCGGAGCUAAUACCGGAUGAUAUUUUGAACCGCAUGGUUCAAAGGUGAAAGACGGUCUUGCUGUCACUUAUAGAUGGAUCCGCGCUGCAUUAGCUAGUUGGUAAGGUAACGGCUUACCAAGGCAACGAUGCAUAGCCGACCUGAGAGGGUGAUCGGCCACACUGGAACUGAGACACGGUCCAGACUCCUACGGGAGGCAGCAGUAGGGAAUCUUCCGCAAUGGGCGAAAGCCUGACGGAGCAACGCCGCGUGAGUGAUGAAGGUCUUCGGAUCGUAAAACUCUGUUAUUAGGGAAGAACAUAUGUGUAAGUAACUGUGCACAUCUUGACGGUACCUAAUCAGAAAGCCACGGCUAACUACGUG